rnacentral:tRNA from 1 species
AUUUAAAUAGUUUAUAAUAGAAUAGUAAUUUGUGGUAUUAUUGGAGAAUUAAUAGUAUUGUUCUUUAAAUC